GUACGCUGGCGGCACGCCUAACACAUGCAAGUCGAACGAAGUAGCAAUACUUAGUGGCAGACGGGUGAGUAACAUGUAGGUAUCUGCCCUUUGGCCUGGAAUAACACGAGGAAACUUGUGCUAAUACCGGAUAAGUCUUUACGGAGAAAGCUUUAUGCACCAUUGGAUGAGCCUGCACUUGAUUAGUUUGUUGGUGGGGUAAUGGCCUACCAAGACUGUGAUCAAUAGCUGAUUUGAGAGGAUGAUCAGCCACAUUGGGACUGAGACACGGCCCAAACUCCUACGGGAGGCAGCAGUGGGGAAUCUUGCACAAUGGAGGAAACUCUGAUGCAGCGAUGCCGCGUGAGUGAAGAAGGCCUUUGGGUUGUAAAGCUCUUUCGUCGGGGAAGAAAAUGACUGUACCCGAAUAAGAAGGUCCGGCUAACU
rnacentral:rRNA from 1 species